rnacentral:rRNA from 1 species
CCUACGGGAGGCAGCAGUGAGGAAUAUUGGUCAAUGGACGAGAGUCUGAACCAGCCAAGUAGCGUGAAGGAUGACUGCCCUAUGGGUUGUAAACUUCUUUUAUAUGGGAAUAAAACGUUCCACGUGUGGGAUUUUGUAUGUACCAUAUGAAUAAGGAUCGUCUAACUCCGUGCCAGCAGCCGCGGUAAUACGGAGGAUCCGAGCGUUAUCCGGAUUUAUUGGGUUUAAAGGGAGCGUAGGUGGAUUGUUAAGUCAGUUGUGAAAGUUUGCGGCUCAACCGUAAAAUUGCAGUUGAAACUGGCAGUCUUGAGUACAGUAGAGGUGGGCGGAAUUCGUGGUGUAGCGGUGAAAUGCUUAGAUAUCACGAAGAACUCCGAUUGCGAAGGCAGUUCACUGGACUGCAACUGACACUGAGGCUCGAAAGUGUGGGUAUCAAACAGGAUUAGAUACCCGUGUAGUC